AGUUCCACAUAUCGACCCGCCGCAGCCGUCAAACUAUACUAGAUGGCCACUGCUCUAGCGUCUGGGAUUGAUGAAUUCUGGCCUCCCGAUAUGUCAAAAUCAUCGGCUGUUGAAGAACGAUCGUUGACUGUUCAAAGGAUUUCGGAAGACAAUCUCGUUUCAGGUACUCCAAGUGCCCUACAACCCUGAUGAUGCUUAUACGGUGUUGUUGUGGUGGCUAGCUACAGUGGGUCUUCUACAAUUGUGCAGUUCUGGGAUGAGUCAUGGUGUGCUCAUAAUUCGUAUUUUUUGAAACUCUCAAUCAACUUCAUCCAACCCGAAACCGGACAAAGCAUCAAGACAGAUGGAUAAGAAAUUUGUGAAGAAUCAGGAUUCCAAGAAAGCACCUGUGGGUCCUAAAGGCCAGCCAUCAAAAGGGAACAACGGAAAAGGGGAAAACCCUAUGCGAAUCCCACAAAUCACAGAGCCAUGUUCUGGUUCUAGACUCCCAACUAUAUCGAUCUGCAGGAACGCUGCAUGUAAAGCUGUGGUUUAUGAUGUUGACGGUGGAGUCGCUGUUUAAUUUGCACCUGUUGUAGCAGAUGAAGUUUUUGCCACAAUAUCUAGUGGAACCGUGAUUGGUAAAGGUGUCAAGAGUCUCCUACCUUGCUGUACAGUUCUUGGAGGAGUCUCCUAAGCAGAAACGCACAACUGAUCACAACUGUUGUUACGACGAUUUUUCUAAGCUUUAGUUGAUUAACAAGCACAUAAAUGAAUCUGCAAGAUUAUAAAUAAAUGUUGUAGUUAUCUUAAA